CAAAGCAGAGGGCCCCUCAAGAAUCUUUUAUAAGUUGGAGGGCUGAGAAAGCAUCCAAAGAAUAAGGCUUUUUCCUUUUCUUUUUAACACAUUUGGUCGCAGUGGGAAUCAUUCAUUGACUAGACUAAUGCUAAUGCUAGCUGCUGCUGCUUCAAACUCAAAGCAACAGAAGUUCUACAAAGUCUCAAUCUGAUCUAAUACCGAAGGUUUGGAAUCUCACCUGCCUCCUUUCUUUUAUCAAAUUCCAAGUGUUUUUUCUUCAGAUUUGUUCUAAAUUCCAAGAAAAUCUUAGAAAUUUCAACAAGAAAUGAUCCAGUGUCGAGAAAGGGUAUUUUUGAGAUAAGAUUGAUUAGAGUAAGGAGAAGUCAUAGAUCUUAUUUACUACAAGCAGAUGAUAGUCGACUGGUUAUUAGAUGAAGACGGUGACCUUGGACUUGGUAAAAUUUUUCUAGUUGGCCUGGGGGGCAUUGGGAAACCAAUAUUUACCUGUGUCUGGUUCAACCUGGAUCAAAGGAGCCAUUGCUUGAAAAAAAAAAUUUGCUUUUGUCGGAUGAUGUAUGGAACAGUACAACUAUCAACCGUUCAUUGACAUCAGAUCCUUUUGAAAUAGGAGCACAAGGAAGCAAAAUCACACUUAUUUGCAAGAGGUGAUCAAUUUUUUUUUAAAUUUAAAAAAAAUAAAAUCAUGAAUUGAAAUUGUAAGACUAAGAAGUCGUAAAAUAGAAGUAGUUAGGAAAAGAACUGCAAAGAUGUAUGGAUGGAGACAUGUCAAAUAGGAAGUUGUGGGAAUUGCUGCUGCAUAGCACUCUCUGCUUUGUUUUUGAUGUAUUGAAAUUGGAAAGAAGAAAUUAAUUGCUUUCAAGGAUGUAUGGAAAGGAUUCCUUUCGAAUUAGGAUGAAAGCCGGUGUUAUAAAGUUGGAUGGGAUGCCUUCACAGCCUUGUUUCCAGUAGCCAGGAAGACAUGGCACUUGACAAUAUUUCAUGAAGACAAAAAAAUGCAAGGGAAGAUGCUUCUUACAUGGAAAGAUUUUAAAGAGUGGGACGCUGGUAAUGAAAGAGGACCAAAGGAUUGAUGUUGUUUUGCUUAGUGAUUGAGCUACAGUUAUCUUCUGCCUUAGCUAUUGCAGAAGGCCUUCUUUGAAUUUCAAGGAUAUAAUAUAUAUGUACUCCACCAGGAAUUCUGCAGCCUCACUUCUUCAA